rnacentral:lncRNA from 1 species
UCUUCAUAAAAAAAUAAAAAAAAAUAAUGAAAGAAAAAGUAAUAUUUGUUUUACUGUUUGUACUUCCAAAUUAAAUUUUUAACCCUUAGUCCAAUGGCCCAAAAUAAUCCCACAUUUUUUUUACUUCCUCACCAUUUUUUUUUCUUACCACACCCACUCAACACAUCAUCUUCCACAUCACCCUCCAAUCACAUUCCACAUCAC